rnacentral:ribozyme from 1 species
UUUUUGCUGAUUCGUUUGUCUUUUCUUUUUUUUUUCUGUAAAUUAAAAAAAAAAAGGGGGGGGGGUUGUAACACAAAACAUAAAAAAGA